rnacentral:rRNA from 1 species
UACGGAGGGUGCAAGCGUUAUCCGGAUUCACUGGGUUUAAAGGGUGCGUAGGCGGACAGGUAAGUCAGUGGUGAAAUCUCUGGGCUUAACCCAGAAACUGCCGAUGAUACUAUUUGUCUUGAAUAUCCUGGAGGUAGGCGGAAUAUGUCAUGUAGCGGUGAAAUGCUUAGAUAUGACAUAGAACACCAAUUGCGAAGGCAGCUCGCUGGGACGUUACUGACGCUGAGGCGCGAAAGCGUGGGGAGCAAACAGG